rnacentral:rRNA from 1 species
GAUGAACGCUAGCGGCAGGCCUAACACAUGCAAGUCGAGGGGUAUAGUAGCAAUACUAGAGACCGGCGCACGGGUGCGUAACGCGUAUGCAAUCUACCUUUUACAGGGGAAUAGCCCAGAGAAAUUUGGAUUAAUGCCCCAUAGUAUAUAAGAAUCGCAUGGUUUUUAUAUUAAAGUUCCAACGGUAAAAGAUGAGCAUGCGUCCCAUUAGUUAGUUGGUAAGGUAACGGCUUACCAAGACUAUGAUGGGUAGGGGUCCUGAGAGGGAGAUCCCCCACACUGGUACUGAGACACGGACCAGACUCCUACGGGAGGCAGCAGUGAGGAAUAUUGGACAAUGGGCGCAAGCCUGAUCCAGCCAUGCCGCGUGCAGGAAGACGCAUCUAUGGUGUGUAAACUGCUUUUGUACAGGAAGAAACACUCCCUCGUGAGGGAGCUUGACGGUACUGUAAGAAUAAGGAUCGGCUAACUCCGUGCCAGCAGCCGCGGUAAUACGGAGGAUCCAAGCGUUAUCCGGAAUCAUUGGGUUUAAAGGGUCCGUAGGCGGUUUAAUAAGUCAGUGGUGAAAGCCCAUCGCUCAACGAUGGAACGGCCAUUGAUACUGUUAGACUUGAAUUAUUAGGAAGUAACUAGAAUAUGUAGUGUAGCGGUGAAAUGCUUAGAUAUUACAUGGAAUACCAAUUGCGAAGGCAGGUUACUAC